rnacentral:rRNA from 1 species
UACGUAGGGUGCGAGCGUUAAUCGGAAUUACUGGGCGUAAAGGGUGCGCAGGCGGCAGAGCAAGUCGAGUGUGAAAGCCCCGGGCUUAACUUGGGAAUUGCGCUCGAAACUACUUUGCUGGAGUGUGGCAGAGGAAGGUGGAAUUCCACGUGUAGCGGUGAAAUGCGUAGAGAUGUGGAGGAACACCAAUGGCGAAGGCAGCCUUCUGGGCCAACACUGACGCUCAUGCACGAAAGCGUGGGGAGCAAACAGG